rnacentral:rRNA from 1 species
UACGUAGGGCGCAAGCGUUGUCCGGAAUUAUUGGGCGUAAAGAGCUCGUAGGUGGUUUGUCGCGUUGUUCGUGAAAACUCACAACUCAAUUGUGGGCGUGCGGGCGAUACGGGCAGACUGGAGUACUGCAGGGGAGACUGGAAUUCCUGGUGUAGCGGUGGAAUGCGCAGAUAUCAGGAGGAACACCGGUGGCGAAGGCGGGUCUCUGGGCAGUAACUGACGCUGAGACGCGAAAGCGUGGGGAGCGAACAGG